GCGGUGGUGAAGAUUUUGUACCACAGAGUGGCAUUGCUGUAUGUUUCAGGAAUGCAAUGCGGCGGCUGAAGUGUAACUGGAAACACGCUGCUCGCUGCCGUGACGGUCAUCCAUGUGGUAAAUCCCACCUGCUCACAGCACCCGUGGAGUAUACAGUCAUCGGAGUUCCAUGCAGCUGGCAGAGUGAAAAUAAUGUUCAUCUCCUCAUGGGAGUCUCUGCCUGAAAGACCAAUUUGGUGGCCAAAAAUUGUGGAGCUCAGGUGUGUUACGUUUUGAGAUAACCCUCCAAAGAGCUUUAAAGGAUCCAAACUCAGUGUAACGGCUACAGAGAUAUUUAUGGGUCCAGAAUCUUCUAAUGCCUGUGGUGUCUGAGUGGAUGACCUCGCCUGGCCGGUGGUCACUGUACUCUCAGGAGGGGUGGUAUCAUUGAGGAGGCGCUUCAGAGUUUCAUUCUCACAUAUACACAGGUCCAGGUUGUUAAACCUUAAGAGGAAAGUGUUCCAGUCCUCUGUCAUCUCUGGUGAUUUGAUUUCUUUCAUCUUGAAGAAGUACCCCAGAGUCAAGAAGGCUAUGGCCAUCCCACUAAUGCUGACCAUAAAGACCACCAGCGGCGGUCGGCUGCUAAUAUAGGCCUUCAGGUUCUCCAGGGGAUGUAAGCUUAGAAUCAUGGUGAUGGAAAUACCCUGCAGGGCCUGCAAUGUCCGCGCUGUCGGCC